UCACCUCCGCAGGCUGGCCGACCCCCAGGCUGGGCUGGGCGAGUAUCUCUUCGAAAGGCUCACCCUCAAGCGUGACUAUGAGC
rnacentral:pre_miRNA from 1 species